GGUGGGACUCCAGAACCUGAGCACGGCUGCUUUGCUGUGCAGGCAAGGAAGGGCUUGGGCUGCUCCACUCCCCUGCUUUGCUUUGGGAUCACUGUGAUUUUGGGGGACAGUGCAGGGGGGAAGGGAGAAAGCAUGGGCUUCCCUCACCCGUGGGUGGGUUUUUCCCUAGAAUGGAGGGGUUGGGCCUUCCUUAAACUCCUGACAGACAUAAGAUUUUUUACCAUUUUUCUUCUUUCCCCUUUUUGUCUGUAACCUAUUUUCAUUAAUUUGUUGUUUGUUUUUCUAAAGGAAGAAUUCUAGGUGGGGUCCAGUCUGGAUCGGGAAGUGCUUGGGACCAGCUGUGGUGUGGAUGGGCCGUGCCCUUGGAGAAGGCUGAGGACAUCGUUUGGGACCAGCUUUUCUUCUGGCAGCAGAUGGUGUGAGCCGGGCUCUGCGGAUGCUGAGGCUGCUCUGGGCUCUGCCAGGGCUCUGCUGGGCUCAGCACCGGGCCGGGAUCAGCCAAAGAAGAAAUGAUGUGACCUCCAGCAGAGACUUGAGCAUUUUGGCAAUGCAGCUCAAGUCUGCAGAGUGUCCACCUCCAAAGGAAAACAUGACACCUCCCCCAAAAUUAAACUUGUUCCAUAACUUCUGAAAUGACAUCAAUCUGGGAUGACCCCAAAUGUCAUUCUUCAGCUUUC